CCUACGGGGGGCAGCAGUGAGGAAUAUUGGUCAAUGGGCGGAAGCCUGAACCAGCCAAGUCGCGUGAAGGAAGAAGGGUUUCGGCUCGUAAACUUCUAUUAACAGGGACGAAAGAAAUGACGGUACCUGAAUAAGAAGCCCCGGCUAACUACGUGCCAGCAGCCGCGGUAAUACGUAGGGGGCAAGCGUUAUCCGGAAUUACUGGGUGUAAAGGGUGAGUAGGCGGCAUGGUAAGCCAGAUGUGAAAGCCUUGGGCUUAACCCGAGGACUGCAUUUGGAACUAUCAAGCUAGAGUACAGGAGAGG
rnacentral:rRNA from 1 species